UACGGAGGGUGCAAGCGUUAAUCGGAAUUACUGGGCGUAAAGCGUGCGCAGGCGGUUUUGUAAGUCUGACGUGAAAGCCCCGGGCUCAACCUGGGAAUUGCGUUGGAGACUGCAAGGCUUGAAUCUGGCAGAGGGGGGUAGAAUUCCACGUGUAGCAGUGAAAUGCGUAGAGAUGUGGAGGAACACCGAUGGCGAAGGCAGCCCCCUGGGUCAAGAUUGACGCUCAUGCACGAAAGCGUGGGGAGCAAACAGG
rnacentral:rRNA from 1 species